GACGAACGCUGGCGGCGUGCCUAACACAUGCAAGUCGAGCGAAUGAAGUUCCUUCGGGAAUGGAUUUAGCGGCGGACGGGUGAGUAACACGUGGGCAACCUGCCUCGUAGAGGGGAAUAGCCUUCCGAAAGGGAGAUUAAUACCGCAUAAGAUUGUAGUACCGCAUGAUACAGCAAUUAAAGGAGCAAUCCGCUAUGAGAUGGGCCCGCGGCGCAUUAGCUAGUUGGUGAGGUAACGGCUCACCAAGGCGACGAUGCGUAGCCGACCUGAGAGGGUGAUCGGCCACAUUGGGACUGAGACACGGCCCAGACUCCUACGGGAGGCAGCAGUGGGGAAUAUUGCACAAUGGGGGAAACCCUGAUGCAGCAACGCCGCGUGAGUGAUGACGGCCUUCGGGUUGUAAAGCUCUGUCUUCAGGGACGAUAAUGACGGUACCUGAGGAGGAAGCCACGGC
rnacentral:rRNA from 1 species